rnacentral:rRNA from 1 species
CGUAGAUAUUAGAAAGAAUACCAAUUGCGAAGGCAGCUUUCUGGAUCAUUACUGACACUGAGGAACGAAAGCAUGGGUAGCGAAGAGGAUUAGAUACCCUCGUAGUCCAUGCCGUAAACGAUGUGUGUUAGACGUUGGAAAUUUAUUUUCAGUGUCGCAGCGAAAGCGAUAAACACACCGCCUGGGGAGUACGACCGCAAGGUUAAAACUCAAAUGAAUUGACGGGGACCCGCACAAGUAGUGGAGCAUGUGGUUUAAUUCGAAGAUACGCGCAGAACCUUACCAACACUUGACAUGUUCGUCGCGACUCUAAGAGAUUAGAGUUUUCGGUUCGGCCGGACGAAACACAGGUGCUGCAUGGCUGUCGUCAGCUCGUGUCGUGAGAUGUUGGGUUAAGUCCCGCAACGAGCGCAACCCUCACUUUUAGUUGCCAUCAUUAAGUUGGGCACUCUGAAAGAACUGCCAGUGAUAAGCUGGAGGAAGGUGGGGAUGACGUCAAGUCCUCAUGGCCCUUACGUGUUGGGCUACACACGUGCUACAAUGGUAUCUACAACAGGAAGCAAGACUGCGAAGUUAAGCAAAUCCCUAAAAGAUACCUCAGUUCGGAUUGCACUCUGCAACUCGAGUGCAUGAAGCUGGAAUUACUAGUAAUCGUGGAUCAGCGUGCCACGGUGAAUGCGUUCCCGGGUCUUGUACACACCGCCCGUCACACCAUGGGAGUUGGUUCUACCUUAAGGCAAGGUUUCAAACCCUUGACCACGGUAUAGUCAGCGACUGGGGUGAAGUCGUAACAAGGU